AUUGAACGCUGGCGGCAGGCCUAACACAUGCCAGUCGAGCGGAGGAAGGGAGCUUGCUCCUGGAUUCAGCGGCGGACGGGUGAGUAAUGCCUAGGAAUCUGCCUGGUAGUGGGGGAUAACGUCCGGAAACGGGCGCUAAUACCGCAUACGUCCUGAGGGAGAAAGUGGGGGAUCUUCGGACCUCACGCUAUCAGAUGAGCCUAGGUCGGAUUAGCUAGUUGGUGGGGUAAAGGCCUACCAAGGCGACGAUCCGUAACUGGUCUGAGAGGAUGAUCAGUCACACUGGAACUGAGACACGGUCCAGACUCCUACGGGAGGCAGCAGUGGGGAAUAUUGGACAAUGGGCGAAAGCCUGAUCCAGCCAUGCCGCGUGUGUGAAGAAGGUCUUCGGAUUGUAAAGCACUUUAAGUUGGGAGGAAGGGCAGUAAGUUAAUACCUUGCUGUUUUGACGUUACCAACAGAAUAAGCACCGGCUAACUUCGUG
rnacentral:rRNA from 1 species